CGAGGUGUGGCGCAGUUUGGUAGCGCACCUGGUUUGGGACCAGGGGGCCGGAGGUUCAAAUCCUCUCACCUCGA
rnacentral:tRNA from 1 species